GAUGAACGCUGGCGGCGUGCCUAAUACAUGCAAGUCGAGCGAACAGAUGAGAAGCUUGCUUCUCUGAUGUUAGCGGCGGACGGGUGAGUAACACGUGGGUAACCUACCUAUAAGACUGGGAUAACUCCGGGAAACCGGGGCUAAUACCGGAUAAUAUUUUGAACCGCAUGGUUCAAUAGUGAAAGACGGUUUCGGCUGUCACUUAUAGAUGGACCCGCGCCGUAUUAGCUAGUUGGUAAGGUAACGGCUUACCAAGGCGACGAUACGUAGCCGACCUGGUGGGGUGAUCGGCCACUCUGGAACUGAGACACGGUCCAGACUCCUACGGGAGGCAGCAGUAGGGAAUCUUCCGCAAUGGGCGAAAGCCUGACGGAGCAACGCCGCGUGAGUGAUGAAGGUCUUCGGAUCGUAAAACUCUGUUGUUAGGGAAGAACAAAUUUGUUAGUAACUGAACAAGUCUUGACGGUACCUAACCAGAAAGCCACGGCUAACUACGUGCCAGCCGCCGCAGUAA
rnacentral:rRNA from 1 species